rnacentral:rRNA from 1 species
UUUACGGCUCAGUAACACGUAGUCAACCUCCCGGAGACCAGGAACCCCGGGAAACUGGAUUAACCUGAUAGGUCAUUCAUGGAAGGAGAGAUGGCUUAAAGGGGUACGCGGGCUUCUUCCAUGCAUCCGCUCCAGGAUGGGACUGCGUCCGAUCAGGCUGUUGGCGGGGUAAUGGCCCACCAAACCAGUAACCGGUACGGGCCUUGAGAGAGGGGGCCCGGAGAUGGACACUGAGAGAAGGGUCCAGGUCCUACGGGGCGCAGCAGGCGCGAAACCUUCGCAAUGCGCGAAAGCGUGACGAGGUUAAUCCGAGUGACUCCCGCUGAGGAGGUCUUUUGUCAGCUGUAAAAAGGCAGGCGAAUUAGGG